AAUACAAAUAUAAUUAAAAAGGAAGUAAACACCGUAACCAACAGCUCACUCAGUAUUCUGUGAAGUUUGUAAAAAAAAAAUAAAGCAAUGGUAACCCUCAUUUUACAUACAGCACACAGUGAAAAUUACAUGAAUAUGACAGUGGGUAAAUGCAUAAAGCACUGCACAAUUUGAAAUCACGAGUUUAAAUUUUAAAGCAUUCAAUUCACACGGACUGACUGUCAAACGUUAUGUUUUCUGUAUACAUUAAUUCCUUUGUUUAACCGUUCUAUCGGAUUAUUAGACAGAGUUCUAUCCGCAUUAGACAGAAAUGAUUAAGAAGACGACGAACAAGAGAGAGAGUGAGCACUGUGUGCGCGCCGUCAAAAUAAAAGUCCCGCCUCGAACACAUUGGUCAAGUAGAAAAACUUAUUGGCCGAUGCCGAUGUUUGAAAAAUGCCAAAUAUCGGCCGAUAUAUCGGUGGACCACUAGCAGGAAACAUCUCAAUCUUGGCGGUGUUAUCGGUCCUGUUUUCUCACUGUAUUUGUUUGAGUAUAAAUUUUAGAUCCUGGGCCAAGCUUUUAUUUUGUGUUACAUUUUGAGUCUCUUUUUUUACCAAUAAAGUUGUUGUUUUUUAACAGCAUUUGUAUGUCAGACAUUGAAUAUUUACAUAAAAUAUUAUGUAUUUAUUUUAACAGUGUGCAUGUUUUAUUUUUAUCAAAAAAGUUUUUCUGUAAAGCAGAUGGGUUAAGGAAAGAGGUUGGGAGUAAAGUCUUUUCAUAAACCCUGUAAAAUUAAGCCAUAUAUAAAUAUAUGCAAAUAAACUGAGAUUCUUUGUGAGGUUGUGAGAAGCCGUGCAUAUUCUCCGAGUAGUUUUACAGAUGAGAAACCCUAGAGAAGUCAAUAAACAAACAUUAAAGGGACAUAUGCGUGUGUGGUGUCUGACAAUGAUCCCAAAUAUUAUUUUCAUAACCAGUGCAAAGAACAUUUUAAAUCAUUGCAUAUCAUAUGCAUUAUAAGAAAUCUGUUACAUUUUCACAAGUGUUUGAAUUUUUUUCUUUGUUUCUGUUUUAUUUAAUCGUUUAAAUCGCAUUUUUAUUUUGCAGUGAUGCUCAAAAGAGACAAUAAAAUUAAUAUUUCUGUAUUAA